rnacentral:rRNA from 1 species
GCUAGCGGCAGGCCCUAAUACAUGGCAAGUCGAGGGGUAACAUGAGUGCUUGCACUUGAUGACGACCGGCGCACGGGUGCGUAACGCGUAUGCAACCUACCUAUACAGAG